AAGCAAGUCUGAAUAGGGCGCUAAGUCACUAUAUAUAGACCCGAACCCGGAUGAUCUAACCAUGACCAGGAUGAAACUUCAGUAACAUGCAGUGAAGGUCCGAACCGACCGAUGUUGAAAAAUCGGCGGAUGAGUUGUGGUUAGGGGUGAAAUGCCAAUCGAAUCCGGAGCUAGCUGGUUCUCCCCGAAAUGUGUUGAGGCGCAGCGUUAAAUAAAGGGCUUUCUAGGGGUA
rnacentral:rRNA from 1 species